CACGUAGGGGGCGAGCGUUGUCCGGAUUUAUUGGGCGUAAAGAGCUCGUAGGCGGCUUGGUAAGUCAGGUGUGAAACCUCCAGGCUCAACCUGGAGACGCCACUUGAUACUGCCAUAGCUAGAGUCCGGUAGGGGAGCGUGGAAUUUCUGGUGUAGCGGUGGAAUGCGCAGAUAUCAGGAGGAACACCGAUGGCGAAGGCAGGUCUCUGGGCAGUUACUGACGCUGAGGAGCGAAAGCAUGGGGAGCGAACAGG
rnacentral:rRNA from 1 species